ACAUUAUCAAAUUUUUAGAUUGUAGCCAAGAACCUUUCUCUCGAUAUUGAUAAUAGUUUUUAUAUAAACAACCUACACUAAACAACAUACAAAACACUAAACUAAACUAAAUAAAUCUCAGAUGACAUUUCAAACGAUCUUGAAGUGCUUAUGCACUAUAGGCGAGAUGUUUCCCACAUACAAACUGAACCUCACCCUAGUCUAACAGGACUGAAGAUUCAUAUUUUAGCUUAAUCCAUGGCCACGAAACCCACCUUUAUCGUAGAAUCUGAAAAGUCAUGUUCAAGCUAUGAUAUAUUUUACUAGAUUACAGGCUUAGUGUACCUGAAUUCCUGAAAUGACACAUAGACACGGACUUACAGGAAGUUCAGACCAGACGUUCUGUAGUGAACCAGGCUGAUUAAUCUAGGUAGUAGCGUGGUUGAGGGGCGGAGCUGUGGUGACCGUAAACUGCUUAUGGCCCAGACAGACAUUUACAAGAAAUGAAGUGGGUUGUGAGGACUGAUGGAGUGUGACGGGGAGGAGCCUGUGAUCUCCAGAGACGCGCGUACGUGGUAUCAAUAAAACUCUGCGACACAUCUGACAGGCUUACGCAGAAAAAUGACUAAGAACAAAACAAUACUUGGCAUCAGGGGUUCACGUAAACUUUAGAUCACUGCUUGAAAUUCCAUUCGAGGCUGAAGGAUGUGAUCUGCACUGCGCAGUCAUCAGAUAAGACUCUGACGAGAUGUCAAAACACUCAGACUGAGUUUUAGUCGCUGUCAGACCCCGUUCUGAAUGAUUCCUCCUCCAUAAAACAAUGGGAAUGAGCUGUUUUCUGGCUAAAUGGAGAGAUUCGAAUCAAUCAUUAGCAAAACAUUGGAGGAAACAUGUCAAAGUUCAGACGUGUAAAGGAAGCAAGCUUUAUUACAAGUAAGCUUAUCUUAGAGGGGAAGAAACCCUUCCUGAUUCUAAUGAAUUUAUGUUAUAUUGUGGAAAUGAGGGGGAAAUCAUUCAUGCCCGGUUGGCUAAUUUAUCAAAUAAUUUCCCAAUCCAGAUUAUUGAUUAACUAGUUCCUAUGUUUAAAUUUGACACAAACUAUUUCGAUAGGUGGCUGAGGUUGACUGCGUGAACUGGUGGAUGCGGUAAGGGUUAAUCAGUCGAUCUUCCAUCAGCCGCCUGUGCCGAUUAAUACACGUGAAAGUGCAUAGUCACUUCCAGGAAAACAGACAGUUGUGUUUCCCUGAAGAGCCCCUAAUCUCCACUGCAUCUGGCCUCAAUUUACACAAACAUGCAAAUGUACACACAUGUACACACUCCUGAGCAGUGUAUUUCCUUUUGGAACCACAACGCUCCCCUCCAAAACGCAGACACCGACAGAUAUACACACACACAAGCCUGUGUGGGUAAUCUGUUCACAGAAUCAGCCCUGGUUUGAGCUCGGAGUGCUCGACCUCAACCUAUCCACGCAGAAAUGGGGAACUCUCAAAGACUCAAAUAAAGUAAAACAAACUGAAAUAAGAGUUAACCAACCUUUUCUUCGGUUUAAUUGAUUUCUAAAUUUAAAAGGCAAGUAGCUAUCAUUGCGCACUACACCAAAACCUACUAGUUGACUAUUUAGACGUUGCUCUGGAAACACGUUACCCACGAGUAAACUUUUCUUUUAAUCUAUUUAUGGUUAUGAUGCUGAAGCCCCCUGGGAGUGGUUUUUGUAAAUUGACAAUGUUUCAGACCACAAAGCUAUAUUCCAGGAAGGCAAGUGAUAUGGCUACACCACAUCAUGGUUACUAUGACAACACUCAUCUCCUGCCAUCCCACAUCAAGGUAGAAGGUCCCCAUGUUCUCCGCUAAGACUAUGUGGGCAGGACUUCCAAUUCACUGAUUCACAAAGAUAAACCUGUUUCACAUUAACAGAACACAAAGACCACCUUUCAGUAAUCUCCUCGCCCCCCUUUUCCAUACAGACAGGUGGGUUUAAGAUGGUUUGAUAAGUAUCAGUAAAAAAUAUAUAUACAUUUUGUAUUUUCACAUGUAAGGUUCCAUAUGAAGGGCUUACGGCCCCCUAGGGUCUCGGUGGAGGUACUGCAGGGGGUCCAAAAACACGUUUUCGACCAGAUUUUGGUGUAAAAAAAAAGUUUGUAGUAAACAAAAUAUCUAUUAAUUAAAAAUUGUCAGCGUCAACCAAAUUUAAAUGUACAUUUUUUUCACGCGAUAUUAAAAUUCGGUCAAAUAUACAAGUGUACAACUCUACCCAUUGUUAAGGAUCAUCUUAAAGGCUUUGCAAUGCAUUGCUCGCAACAACAUCAGCAUCUCAUGUACUUAAGGCAAAAUGCAAGGUGCUGUAUUGUGGCAGGUCAUACAUGGCUCGUCCCAGGCAGAUGCCAUGUAAUUCACACAAGCUAGUAAGAGUUCUUCAGAAAUAUCACCCCUGGGACGCAGCUUUCCGCAGAAGGCAUGAGACGAGACCUCUGGAGAACACGCCAAUGAGACUCUCAUGAGACCGUCUGCGCGCAUCCAUAUAUAGUGCUCUUAAUAAGCUUCAUAUCAACCUGUUUCUCAGACCAGAGGAACCACACUGAAGAUCAAGGUCAUGCUGGUUCAUUUAACAGAUGCUUUCCAAACUUUGCCAAACUGACACACAUUGAGAUGGCCAUCACAGCCUAAUUGUUCACAGAAACGCUUAUUGAUAUUGAAUUGAAAGCAGUUCAUGACAUAUUACUGCAUGGCAUUUAUUUUCAGUCGAGGAGGAUCUGGCGACAAGCAGAAGUAGGACCCGUGAAUUAUGUAGAUUGUUGAAUUUUGUCAAUUUAUUGUGAAUUUCCUUGCUUGAAAACCUGUUCAUAUGAAGGAAUUGUGGGAAGUGAGGAUGUGGUGGGGGUGGGGGGUUAAAUUAAUGGUAAGUCUCUGGGAAAACACAGAGCAAAUAAAUAAACAGAAAUUGCAUUUUUCUCAGCAUCGCACAGAUCCAUCACUGGUUUCUGGAGAAAAAAAAAAAAUUCCCUUCCAUUUUCUUGGAGUGAUUAACAUACACUUGCAUGGAAAAUCAACUGAGAGAAAUAACUUCCCAACAAGCAGCCAACUUUGCACAAACUGGAUUCCAGAAAGAGUUCCCCUUAAUCAUCAAGAGACCCAAACACUGAGAAACCCACCUAUUCUGGGAAACGAUGACUAUCGGGAAUGAAGUAGGCUUGCUGAUAUUUCACCAGAACAGGACAUUUAUAAACAAACAGUGUGAGAGGAAAGAUUUUAAGGCACUUUAAUGAUUGACGAGAUGCUGCUUCAUUAUAAAACUCAUUUAAAAGAUGAAAAACAAGGUUAGGCGAACAAAAUGUACAUCAGAAUAAUUUAUUGCAUGACUUUGAUAGCUCCAGUUGGUCAAUUAUUUAUAACAUUAGAUCAAAAAAAAUCUUUACACUGUGUACAAACUUCAGUGAAUUUCAGAAAUUCAUCCUGUGCGUCGGCAGAUUUUAAAAAAUGUUCCAGAAAGAGGUGCGGCAGUGACAUAAACGCUUAGGAAU